rnacentral:rRNA from 2 species
UACGGAGGGUGCAAGCGUUAUCCGGAUUCACUGGGUUUAAAGGGUGCGUAGGUGGGUCUGUAAGUCAGUGGUGAAAUCUCCAAGCUUAACUUGGAAACUGCCGUUGAUACUAUAGACCUUGAAUGCUGUGGAGGUGAGCGGAAUAUGUCAUGUAGCGGUGAAAUGCUUAGAUAUGACAUAGAACACCAAUUGCGAAGGCAGCUCACUACCCAGAUAUUGACACUGAGGCACGAAAGCGUGGGGAUCAAACAGG